CUUGAGGAGGAUUCUUCUAUGUCCCCUAAAUGAACACACUGAUCUCAUCUGAUUUCAGAAGCUAAGCAGGGUAAAGUCUUGUUAGCAGUUAAAUGGGAAAUGAUGAGGGAGUAGCAGAGACCUUCAGGU
rnacentral:rRNA from 1 species